AAAAAAAAAACCUCAAGUCCUUCUCCUGCUUCAUUCGGCUGAACCAAAAAUUAGAACCCUAACCUCCCCAUUUCAUUUCCCUCAGCCGAACCCUAUGCUUCCCUCUUAAGUGCCGAUCUGCCACCGUGAACGGCGACCAACAUGCUUAAGCCUCGGGGUUCUUCUCUUUUAACCUUGAGAUCCUCUUUAUACUUCGAUCUCGGCGAAGCAGAAGAGGUUUCACGGCAUAUUUACAAGGCAAAACUUCGUUCUCCUUGUCUUUUCUACUUUUAAAUGCGAAAACGAAAGUCCAAAAGGAAAAUAAAACUCAAGAAAACUCAAAACUACAGAAAAUUUAAGUCGGAAAUCACCUUUUUGAAACUGAUUUUCUUUUUUGAUUUCUUUUUCGUGUUCAAUACAAUUUUUGUUAGAAAAAUCCCC
rnacentral:lncRNA from 1 species